GUUUGAUUGGCUGUUCUACAAAACCAUGUGGGUGGUAACAUUGUGUAAAAAUGUGUAUAUAAGAAACAAGAGCCUCGUCUCAUGAUUGGGGGAAACAACUGCAUCUACACUGGGGGAUUGCUAUACUCUACAUACUCCCCUAGCUAUAAUCACUAAGCUCUUUUAAGAGCUUGUUCCAGCUUCGCUCUGGAAGGAAGUGAGUUUCGGUCUGCAGUGCUUAUGGUGUCUGGAGAAGUGCUUGGAGCCCUCGGGAAGCACUAGGAGCAUCCAUCAACGGAGGUACU